rnacentral:rRNA from 1 species
GACGAACGCUGGCGGCGUGCUUAACACAUGCAAGUCGAACGGAAAGGCCCUGCUUUUGUGGGGUGCUCGAGUGGCGAACGGGUGAGUAACACGUGAGUAACCUGCCCUUGACUUUGGGAUAACUUCAGGAAACUGGGGCUAAUACCGGAUAGGAGCUCCUGCUGCAUGGUGGGGGUUGGAAAGUUUCGGCGGAUGGGGAUGGACUCGCGGCUUAUCAGCUUGUUGGUGGGGUAGUGGCUUACCAAGGCUUUGACGGGUAGCCGGCCUGAGAGGGUGACCGGCCACAAUGGGACUGAGAUACGGCCCAGACUCCUACGGGAGGCAGCAGUGGGGAAUAUUGCACAAUGGGCGGAAGCCUGAUGCAGCAACGCCGCGUGCGGGAUGACGGCCUUCGGGUUGUAAACCGCUUUCGCCUGUGACGAAGCGUGAGUGACGGUAAUGGGUAAAGAAGCACCGGCUAACUACGUG